GAGGGUAUAGCUCAGUGGUAGAGUGCAUGCCUAGCAUGUAUAAGGUCUUGGGUUCAAUCCCCAGUACCUCCA
rfam:Camelus ferus unplaced genomic scaffold scaffold505, whole genome shotgun sequence.